CAGAAGCGCUUCCAUCCAAGGUCAAACAAAUAUCCCUAUAUUUUUUCCCUCUCCAAAUCCUACAACUUUUAUUUAAAAAAUUUUAUUAUUUAACUCGGUGUUUUUGAGAUAUUUGAGUGGAUUGUUUAAAAUGAGACACCUUGUAUUUCUCAUUACUCUUGAUAGCAUUGCAGGCAUAAUAAAUACAAAAUAUAUUUUGUAUUUAUAAAAAAUUAUAAAGUAAGUAAUUUUCCCAACUCGCCAAUAUACGCGCAACGCGCAAAAGUACAAGUACAGUGAGUAUACAAAGUACAGUAAGUAUAUAGAUACAAAAAUACAGUGUCAACUACUGUAAAUUAUUUUAACCUGUAAAUAACAGGUGUAAAAUCCAUGAAAAUAAUACAAGCUAUUGUAUGUCUGCACAACUGGCUUCGUAAGCAAGAUAUCAGAGUAAACCAAUAUGUUGAUGAAGCACUUGUUGAUCAAAAUAGACUCGAUGAGUUUGUUCCUGGAUCUUGGAGAAAAGAUAUAAGAGAUAGUGCAUUAAAAGAUAUUACUCUAUGUGGUAAUAACAAUAGUACGCGAAACGCAAUCGAAAUUCGUGAAAACUUCUGCAAUUAUUUUAAUACCGAAGGAGCUGUACCAUGGCAAUUUAAUAAUAAUAUUUAAGCAAUGCUUCUAUAUACUUAUUCUUUACAUCAGAUCUUCAAAUCAACAAUGAUUCACUAUACAGUUCAUAGUUAGUUGUCUUUAAUGAUAUGUAAUGUCAUGUCUCAAUACUCUAAUUACAUCGACACGCUAGUUCAAGAAUAUUCAGUUAAACUUUUAGUCGGAUUAAUUUCGCGGAUGUGUCAAAAUAAUAAGAAAACUUGACAGCGAUUAAUAAUGCUUGUGGAAAAGCAACGACUUACAUCAGUAGACAGCAUCCAAUCAUGUAUUACAAACCUGUUCAAGAUUAUAUCAAAAUAGGAAGUACUUGAGGUAUCUAUCGCGUGAGAAAUACGAGAUGAUUGUUGAUUAGACAAUAAAGCAAUUUUUUAUUUUAAGCAUAUAAAUCUGAUCGAAUAUAUUCAUGUUUAAAUUAUUUUACAUUUAAUUCUUGGUAAUAUUCUCAUAAAUUGCAU